rnacentral:lncRNA from 1 species
CCGAGCCGUGCCAGCUGUCAGCAGCCCUCACCCUGGCGCAUUUAAACAGCACAGUCUGCGAGCGCUUUGCCCUUAACACCUCCGAGUCUCAUUAAGCAUUACCACAUCCUAAAAGGCCGUCUUUAUUAAUAGGCAAGGAGAACGGGAGCGGUAGCAUUCCUUAUUUACGGUACGAACGCAGGUCGCCAGGCGCCCGCCCUCCAAGGGCCAGCAGGUGGCGCCGCGGGCCCAGGCUGAGGCUGAGGUCUCCGCCUGCGGGAAGCCGGCGGCGCCCGGCCCGCUCUGCGAAGCGCUACGCCCGCGGGUCGGUGGCGCUUCCGGCGGUUGUCAAAGAAACUGAACGGGAAAAAGAACACAGUGACACCGACUGGAGUCCCCGAGGAGACAGUGCCAAAGCUGCCGAGUGACCAACGUGUUCCAAUCAGCGCGAGGAAGCAGAGGACGGCUUGCUGCUUCCAGCUGCAACCAGAAACUGCGGAGAGCAACAGCUCCUGGGAGCCGGCAUGGAAGAGGCUGAGCGUGGGCCACCAGGACCAUCUUACAGCAUACUUGGAGAAGUGGGUCCGAAGUCCAGUGUUAGGUGGCAUGGAGCCCCUCCCAGCAAGAUGUGGAGGAAGGCAGGCUAGCUACAUAAAGGCAAAGAGAAGAGACACUGAAAGGUGAAUAGUGACCACUUGGGCCUGUAACCAUGGCAAAUGGGUUGCUGUUCUUAAGAGCAGCUGAAGAAAUGAAAUUGUGCUUGACUAGUGAAUAAAGGAAGGAUGAGUUGGUGCUAACA